UUCUCUGCACUCUUUACAGCUGCUCCAUUACCAACAGUGAACCUUGGAAUCCAACCAAGUGGCAGCUUCUCUUAAUCUCUCAUCUCUUAUCAUGGAAUCAAAUUCUUUACAUGUUAUCUCUGCUAUUAAGAUUCCAAAGUUCUGUAUGGAUUGAACUGUAGCUCAUUUAAUCUGGAAGAUCCUUUCAUUUAGCUCUUCUUUUCCAGGAAUUAGCUGCUGUUGGCUGCAGACAAGCUGAUAGGGCAGCGGAUUUCAUUGCUGCUAUGGCUUACAGGGGAAUGUGUCCAAUAGAUUGGGUAUCCGAUCCACCUUCCUCCUUUUCUGAGCUGAUGCUUCCCAUACUUUUUCCCCAGGGGCUUGUUCCUGUUGGUUUUGAUGGGGAAUCUUGUUUCUGAAAACUUACUCACUCACAAGGCAAUCAGAUUCAUCAAUCAACUUGCUAUUGUCCUAGCCUUUAACAUUACAGCAAGAUAUGAAAUCGAACUUCAGAACUACCGUAGCAAGAUUUCGAAGAAAAUUUCCUCAAAACAACUCGUUCGUAGAGUCGAGAAGAGUACAUUUACGAAAGCUUACAAGCAUGGGUUUACAACUUUCUGCAUCGAUAUGCAUGUACUGUAACAUUUGAUAUAUUGGACCAAGGAAAUUGUUCA